GGCUGGUCCAAGCGCUGUGAUGUUUACAAUUAAUUGACCCCGACCAGUUACAGAUGUCUCUGUUCCUCCUCCAUUCCCACUGCUUCACUUGAGAAACCUAAA
rnacentral:Y_RNA from 1 species